AUGUUUCUCAACUGGGAAUUUAUCGAAAAUUGUCGCCAUCGUGGUCGAAACGGUCGAGAACAAAAUCACAAAACUGACAGAAGUUCUUUCUUGUCAAACAACUACGGAGUGCAGACGUGCUCAAGGUAAGACAACAUGGUUAACGGUCGUAUACCUUCAGUCUUCUCGAAGACUUAUGUAACACCCAGACGUCCUUAUGAAAAGGCUCGUCUUGAUCAAGAAUUAAAGAUCAUCGGCGAAUAUGGUCUUCGCAACAAACGUGAAGUGUGGCGUGUAAAAUACACUUUGGCCAAAAUCCGUAAAGCAGCCAGAGAAUUGCUUACAUUGGAAGAGAAAGAUGACAAGAGAUUGUUUCAAGGCAAUGCUCUUUUACGUCGAUUGGUGCGUAUCGGUGUAUUGGACGAAUCCAGCAUGAAACUCGAUUACGUUUUGGGUUUGAAAAUUGAAGAUUUCUUGGAACGUCGUCUACAGACCCAGGUCUUCAAACUUGGAUUGGCCAAAUCCAUUCAUCAUGCUCGAGUGUUGAUCCGUCAAAGACAUAUCCGGUAAAUAUCUGAGAGACCACUUGUACACAGAAGAUGGAUGUUAUCCAUCUGAAUGUGCAACGUCUCCGUUCAAAUAAAUCUUAAAAUUGGCCACUUGAGUGGUGUGAUGUCAUAUCACACAGGUACUCUACGCCAUAGACAUUGCUUAUGACUAUUCUGUUCGUAAGCAAGUGGUCAACAUCCCAUCGUUCAUUGUUCGAUUGGACUCGCAAAAACACAUUGACUUCUCCACAAAAUCACCAUUCGGUGGCGGUCGUGCUGGUCGCGUCAAG